rnacentral:pre_miRNA from 1 species
UAAAUACUCCCUCCGUCUGAAAAUACUUGUCAUCAAAAUGGAUAAAAAGAGAUGUAUCUAAAACUAAAAUACGUCUAGAUACAUUUCCUUUUAUCCAUUUUGAUGACAAGUAUUUCCAGACGGAGGGAGUAUUUG